CAGCCGCCGCGGUAAUACGAAGGGGGCUAGCGUUGUUCGGAAUUACUGGGCGUAAAGGGCGCGUAGGCGGCCAUUCAAGUUAGAUGUGAAAGCCCUGGGCUCAACCUAGGAAUUGCAUUUGAUACUGUUUGGCUUGAGUUCGGGAGAGGUGAGUGGAAUUCCCAGUGUAGAGGUGAAAUUCGUAGAUAUUGGGAAGAACACCAGUGGCGAAGGCGGCUUACUGGCUCAUUCUAGACGCUGAGGUGCGAAAGCGUGGGGAGCGAACAGGAUUAGAUACCCCCGUAGUCCCUGUCUCUUAUAC
rnacentral:rRNA from 1 species